GUCGCGGGGUGCAUUUUCUGCUUGGACCUUUUUUUGUAAGUAAUUGCAGUCGCUGAAGAAGGUUUGAAAAUGAAAACAAGUCAUCUUAUAAAUGUAUAUUGAUCCUGGUUCUGAAAAGCUGGCAACCUGUUCCGUUUCUGACAGCAGCGGAGCAGCGAGAAAGUAAACAGCCGCCCACCAUAGUAGUAUAUAUCAUACACGUUCUGUCAAACGAGUGAUUUAUGACACCCCCCCCCCAGAGUGAUUUAUGACUCCCCCUGUGAUUGACAGAUCAGUUUUGAUUGACAAGUCAGCUGGGUUUUUACGACACCCACACAACCCCCAGGAUUUAUGACAUAAUUGUUCAGGUGUCAGUGUGCUGCCUUUGGUGGGGUCACUUCCCCCACCCCAUGCUGUGUGAGCAAUUAAUGGUAUGACUAUGUGUCUUCUGCUAUGUGUUAAAGAUGUCUGGGGGCUUUCGCUAAGUUGUUUGAUGUUAGAAAGUUUCCUGUAUCAACAGACUAAACAGCUGCAAACAGUGAUAGUGAUUCUGUUUUUACGCCUAUUAGUGUGGACCAAUCAAACACAAAGGAUUGGAAUAGGCUAUAGCAGGGGCGGGUCUUGAGAAAAUGGUGUAUUUAGUUGGUUCGCAAGCGCCGUGCAUUAACCUAUUCAACCUUCGAUUUGGAAGCAACAUGCCAGCAUUCUUGGUAAAUGUGUGUUCUACAGACUUUACCUGAAUUUCUGUUGUAAGUAAUUCAAUAGUGUUUCAACUUUUUGCUUAACAGGUUUUUCUCAGUCUAGGUGCAUCUGAGUUUGAAACAAUCCUUGCUAUUAGAAGUAUUGAAAGGUUGUCUCAACUUGGUCUCUUAACACCGCCGGGAUUUGACGCUGUACCAAGUACCACAGGGUUCAGCCACAGACAACAACAGGUCCAGAUCGCCAACGUUUAAGCCCUUUUUGACAAGCAGGCCCGGGGAACCACUGCAGGGCCGAUGCAGACCAAGUGUUAACGAUAAGCCUGUUUCACACGGAAAGCAUCCAAUGAGAUGCUCGAGUGCAAAUGACAAGUCCAUUUCACAUGGAAAACGCCUUAGAUUUGAUGAUAGAUCCAAAUCUGUAGAUUUGUACACCAGUGGCCGUUCGGCGUAUGUUGAUGUGGGGGUAUCUGGAGCGGCUGGGGAUGGCUUAAGACCGAAUCAGGAGCACGAACGUCGGGUAAGCAGCACUUACCAUUCUAAUGAUAUCAAUGAGCUUAGAACGUUGGUGAGGCAACAGUCUCAAGAGAUCACUAAAAUUAUCAUUGAACUGCGCAGACAAGAUGCUAUCGGGCGUAGAUGUAAUAUUGCUAUUCAGAAACUAAACCUACAUAAUGAGAAAAUAGUACAAGAAAAUCGUACACUGUACAAACAAAUAUCAAAGCAUACACAGAUGAUACAGGCUAUGCCUGAAGUUCAUGAUGCACAU